rnacentral:rRNA from 1 species
GGGAGGCAGCAGUGGGGAAUAUUGGACAAUGGGCGCAAGCCUGAUCCAGCCAUGCCGCGUGAGUGAUGAAGGCCCUAGGGUUGUAAAGCUCUUUUGUGCGGGAAGAUAAUGACGGUACCGCAAGAAUAAGCCCCGGCUAACUUCGUGCCAGCAGCCGCGGUAAUAC